rnacentral:lncRNA from 1 species
AUGAAUUUAUAUAACUUUAUCAUUAUUACCUAAUUCAAUAGAUGCAAUCAAUUUUAAAAGGUCUUCUAGUCUAUUUUCUUUAUAAAUAUCCAUAAUUUUUUUUGUUAUCUUUUAAUAUUCCUAAUCCAUAUAACUCUUUUUCAAUAGCACACAAUCUUUUUUUUAUUUUUAUUUUUUAUUUAUUUUUUAGAUCUAAAUCCACUUAUAUAUAAUACUUUCAUUUCAAAAAAUGCCAAUAAAUUCUACAACAAAGGCACAUAUAUCUUGCGAGAGUACCUUUCUUUUUAUACUUAAAUAAACUUAUUUUAUAAUAAUAUUCUUAAAAAAUCCUUAAAUUCUUCAACAAUCCUUAGUAAUGGACUUUUUCCUAAUAUAUCUCAAUUUUACUUAU